UACAGAGGGUGCAAGCGUUAAUCGGAAUUACUGGGCGUAAAGCGUGCGUAGGCGGUUAUUUAAGUCGGGGGUGAAAGCCCCGGGCUCAACCUGGGAAUUGCAUUCGAUACUGGAUAGCUAGAGUUCGGCAGAGGGAAGCGGAAUUUCCGGUGUAGCGGUGAAAUGCGUAGAUAUCGGAAGGAACAUCAGUGGCGAAAGCGGCUUCCUGGACCAGAACUGACGAUCAGGCACGAAAGCGUGGGGAGCAAACAGG
rnacentral:rRNA from 1 species